rnacentral:rRNA from 1 species
CACUCCUGCGGGAGGCAGCAGUGGGGAAUUUUGGACAAUGGGCGAAAGCCUGAUCCAGCAAUGCCGCGUGAGUGAAGAAGGCCUUCGGGUUGUAAAGCUCUUUUGUCAGGGAAGAAACGGUGAGAGCUAAUAUCUCUUGCUAAUGACGGUACCUGAAGAAUAAGCACCGGCUAACUACGUGCCAGCAGCCGCGGUAAUACGUAGGGUGCAAGCGUUAAUCGGAAUUACUGGGCGUAAAGCGUGCGCAGGCGGUUUUGUAAGUCUGAUGUGAAAUCCCCGGGCUCAACCUGGGAAUUGCAUUGGAGACUGCAAGGCUAGAAUCUGGCAGAGGGGGGUAGAAUUCCACGUGUAGCAGUGAAAUGCGUAGAUAUGUGGAGGAACACCGAUGGCGAAGGCAGCCCCCUGGGUCAAGAUUGACGCUCAUGCACGAAAGCGUGGGGAGCAAACAGGAUUAGAAACCCCGGUAGUCCCAUGA